UACGUAGGGGGCAAGCGUUAUCCGGAUUUACUGGGUGUAAAGGGAGCGUAGACGGCGAAGCAAGUCUGAAGUGAAAGGCGGGGGCCCAACCCCCGGACUGCUUUGGAAACUGUUUUGCUUGAGUGCGGGAGGGGCAAGCGGAAUUCCUAGUGUAGCGGUGAAAUGCGUAGAUAUUAGGAGGAACACCGGUGGCGAAGGCGGCUUGCUGGACCGUAACUGACGUUGAGGCUCGAAGGCGUGGGGAG
rnacentral:rRNA from 1 species